AAACCAAAAGAUAUGAAAAUCGUGUAGGAAACAUAUAGAUGAUGAUGAGAUAAUUACAACUUGAAUAUCUAAGCAUAUUAUGUAGAAAUAUAAUUGGGGGAAAGAGAUAAUACUCGGACAAAAUUAUCAGUCAUAUGAAUGGAUUCGGGAGGGGGAGAUGAGGAUUGAGGUUCGGAAAGGGCGGCGGAAGAUGAAUUUAUGCUGCUGGAUCUUAGAAGUCUGUAAUUCUGACGAAUUCGAGCUGCGAAAUAUGGAGUAAGACGCUGUAUUAAAGAUCUCGAAGAAGAAGAAGACAUUAUUAUAAUUACGGUGAUAAUAGCUUCCCCUCUAUUGCUGUUUCAUUUGCAAAUUAAGAAAAAACACUCUGUUUUGAUUUUGAUGGAUUCGAAUCGAGGUGUA
rnacentral:lncRNA from 1 species